CUGAUAGAGGUUGCGGUCGCCAUGAGUACCUUAUCCAAGCCCUGACACGGGCAGUGCGGAUAAGCGAAAGGGAACACCGCCGAAAUCCGCUGGCGGGUGUUGCCACCGGCGGGUUGGGCUACUGGAGAAGAUCCGGUGGACUGUCGCAGUCAUGCGGGGCGCUAUCG
rnacentral:ncRNA from 1 species